rnacentral:rRNA from 4 species
GACUGGGGUGAAGUCGUAACAAGGUAGCGCUAGGGGAACCUGGCGCUGGAUCACCUCCUUAUACGAUGAU